AAAUAGAACUCUCAGAGAAACAGAGGACAAAUGAAGAAGAAGAAGAUAACAAUUCAACACAAAUCUCAUGAAUGAUUAUUUUUCCUCUUCGCUUCCUUUUAACGCUUCUUUUCUCUUCUGUUAGCAUCCAAACAAUCUCAGCCAUU
rnacentral:sRNA from 1 species